AUUGAACGCUGGCGGCAUGCCUUACACAUGCAAGUCGAACGGUAACGCGGGGCAACCUGGCGACGAGUGGCGAACGGGUGAGUAAUGCAUCGGAACGUACCCAGUAGUGGGGGAUAGCCCGGCGAAAGCCGGAUUAAUACCGCAUACGACCUACGGGUGAAAGGGGGGGAGUCGCAAGACCUCUCGCUAUUGGAGCGGCCGAUGUCAGAUUAGGUAGUUGGUGGGGUAAAGACCUACCAAGCCUGUGAUCUGUAGCUGGUCUGAGAGGACGACCAGCCACACUGGGACUGAGACACGGCCCAGACUCCUACGGGAGGGCAGCAGUGGGGAAUUUUGGACAAUGGGCGGCAAGCCUGAUCCAGCAAUGCCGCGUGCGGGAAGAAGGCCUCGGUUGGUAAC
rnacentral:rRNA from 1 species